UAGAGAAUGAGUUUGAUCCUGGCUCAGAAUGAACGCUAAUAGUAUGCUUUACACAUGCGAGUUUAACGAAUUUAUCGUGGCAAACGGGUGAGUAAUAAAUAGAAUUUAACCUUUUAGAUUAAACUAAAACAUUGUUAAUUUUAUUAAAUAAAAUUAAUUAAAAAUAAUUCGUUAUUUAUGUUAAUGUUAAAUAUUUAUAAAAUUUUAAUAACUUUUUUAUUAAUUUGCUAAAAGAUAAAUCUGUUUAAGAUUAGGUUGUUGGUAAAAAGACUACCAAGCCUUUGAUCUUUAGUUGGUUUUAGAGAACGAUCAACCACACUGGAACUGAGACAAGGUCCAGGCUAAUAUUUUGGCCAGCAGUGAGGAAUAUUGGACAAUGAACGAAAGUUUGAUCCAGCAAUACUAUAUGAAUGAUUAAGAUAAUACUUGAAGGCUAAUUUGGUCGUAAAAUUCUUUCAAUUAACUAUUAUAAUGACAUAAGUUAAAUAAGAAGUCCCGGCAAAUCUCGUGCCAGCAGCCGCGGUAAUACGGGAGGGGCAAGCGUUAUUCGUUGUAAUUGGGCGUAAAGAGUCUGUAGAUUGUAAAAUAAAUUAUUUGUUAAAGUAUAAAGCUCAACUUUAUAAAAACAUUUAAAACUGUUUUACUAGAGUUCUAACAGAAAAAUAGAAUUUCAUAUGAAAGGAUAAACCCUGUAGAUAUAUGAAGGAAUACCAAAAGCGAAAGCAAUUUUUUAGUAUGAACUGACAUUGAGAGACGAAAGUAUAGGUAGCAAACAGGAUUAGAUACCCUGGUAGUCUAUACUGUAAAUUAUGAGUGUUGUAAUUUAAAAUAUAAAAAUUUUAGAUUUUUUAAGCUAACGCUAUAAACACUCCGCCUGAGGAGUACGAUCGCAAGAUUAGAACUCAAAGGAAUUGACGGGGGCCUACAACAAGUGGUGGAGCAUGUGGUUUAAUGCGAUAAUCCGCGCAAAACCUUACCAACCUUUGAAUAAAGAAAAUAAUUAUUUUUAAAAAAUAAUUAAAUAAAAAGCAUUUUUUUUACAGGUGUUGCACGUCUGCCGUCAGCUCGUGUCGUGAGAUGUUUGGUUAAUUCCUUUAACGAGCGUAACUCUAAUUUUUAUAUAUUUAUGAAAAUAUUUAUAUUAAAUAUUAAUUAUAAAAAUACUAGCAAUGAUAAAUUGAAGGAAGUAGAAUUAAGUCAAGUCACUGUGGCCUUUAUAGGUUGGGCUACACACGUGCUACAAUGAAAAAUACAAUAAGUUAUUAAAACUAAUAGUUUGUAUUAAUCUUUGAAAAUUUUUCGUAGUUCAGAUUAUAAACUGAAACUCGUUUAUAUGAAGGUGGAAUCACUAGUAAUCACAAAUCAGAAUGUUGUGGUGAAUAUGUAUCUUGGCCUUGUACACACCGCCCGUCACAUGCAAAAAGUUAAUUUUGCUUGACAGUUUGAUAUUUAUUAAUUGUUAAAAGUUAAUAAAAUAUUAGAUUUAUUGAGAAGUUAAUAAUUUGGAUGAAGUCGUAACAAGGUAGCUGUACGGGAACGUGUAGCUGGAAUAAAUGAAAU
rnacentral:rRNA from 1 species